GCCUCGCCAUCCCAGUGUUCAGACUACCUGUUCAGGCGGCUGUGAUGUGUACAGUAGUCUGCACACUGGUUAGGCUGGGUC
rfam:Dipodomys ordii contig_68021, whole genome shotgun sequence.